UGAAUACGAGAUGCUACGGCGUCGAAGCAGUCUAUGUCAUACUUCCAAGAAAAGCUCGCACUGUCAUAAACAAAUAAUGCCUGUACCAUAACCGACACAGGUGGGUAGGUAGAGUAUACUAAGGGGCGCGAGAUAACUCUCUCUAAGGAGCUCGGCAAAAUGACUCCGUAACUUCGGGAGAAGGAGUGCCUUAUUUAUAAGGUUGCAAUAACAAGAUCCAAGCAACUGUUUAUCAAAAACACAGGUCUCCGCUAAGUCGUAAGACGAUGUAUGGGGGCUGACGCCUGCCCAGUGCCAGAAGGUUAAAGAAGUUGGUUAGCAUUCGCGAAGCUGAUAACUGAAGCCCUGGUGAACGGCGGCCGUAACGAUAACGGUCCUAAGGUAGCGAAAUUCCUUGUCGGGUAAGUUCCGACCCGCACGAAAGGCGUAAUGAUUUGGAUACUGUCUCGGAGAGGGGCUCGGUGAAAUAGACUUGUCUGUGAAGAUGCGGACUACCUGCACCAGGACAGAAAGACCCUAUGAAGCUUUACUGUAACUUGAGAUUGAAAUUGGACUUUACUUGCGCAGUAUAGGUGGGAGGCGUUGAUAAUAUUCUUGCGGGAUUAUUUGAGCCAUCAGUGAGAUACCACUCUUGUAAUGUUAGAUUUCUAACUUUGUAUCAUUAUCUGGUCAAAGGACAGUUUCAGGCGGGCAGUUUGACUGGGGCGGUCGCCUCCUAAACGGUAACGGAGGCGCACAAAGGUUUCCUCUGAACGGGUAGAAAUCGUAUCUAGAGUGUAAAGGCAUAAGGAAGCUUGACUGUGAGACCUACAAGUCGAGCAGGGACGAAAGUCGGUCUUAGUGAUCUGACGGUGCUGAGUGGAAAGGCCGUCACUCAACGGAUAAAAGUUACUCUAGGAUAACAGGCUGAUCUCCCCCAAGAGUUCACAUCGACGGGGAGGUUUGGCACCUCGAUGUCGGCUCAUCGCAUCCUGGGGCGGUAGUACGUCCCAAGGGUUGGGCUGUUCGCCCAUGAAAGCGGUACGCGGGCUGGGUUCAGAACGUCGUGAGACAGUUCGGUCCAUAUCCGGUGUAGGCGUUAGAAUAUUGAGAGGAGCCUUCUUUAGUACGAGAGGACCGAGAAGGACAUACCUCUGGUGUACCAGUUAUCGUGCCAACGGUAAACGCUGGGUAGCUAUGUAUGGAGUGGAUAACCGCUGAAAGCAUCUAAGUGGGAAGUCCACCUCAAGAUAAGUAUUCUCAC
rnacentral:rRNA from 1 species